AAAGAGUAAGAAAUUCUGGUGAGUGUACCUUUUGUAUCAGGGGAAGUCAAAAGUGUAAGUAGCAAGAGAUCGAUUUAAGCAGAGCUUCGUAUAAGGGGGCUGUAGUUGAAUUUACAGGUUUAAUACGCUAUGUGGUGAAAAAUGUACGGUGCUUAUGGUAGCUAUUUGUUUUUUUUUGUUGAGGGGUAAGCUCUCAUUGGUUUAAGUAGGUAAAAGAUGUAAAGGAAUUAGGCUUUGUAUCAGCCAGAUUAUUAAAUUGUUUUAAAUAACUUAGAGUCGCGAGUAUAGAUGGUUUAAGAGUAAAAAACUUGGGUUGUUGAUAUAGACAACCCUAAAUAAUGAAUUUAUUGAAUAUAUUGUCGAAGCGUUAAAAUAACUCAGAGUGAGUUAGAAUGUUUAGCAAAAACAUUUUUUUGAGAGUUACGUAAGAUAAGACCUGCCCGGUGAUUUUUAACGGCUGCGGUAUUUUGACUGUGCUAAGGUAGCAUAAUCAUUUGCUAUUUAAUUGGUAGCUGGAAUGAAAGGUUAAACUGGCUCACUCAGUUUGUUGGGUUUUUUAAGAAAUUAAAGUCAAAGUAAGAAUUCUUUGAUUUUCUAGGGGACGAUAAGACCCUAGAAGCUUGGCAAUGAGAAUAUUUGUUAGUAGUAAAAAGUAACUUGUUUUACUGGGGCGGUAAAAGUAUAUAAACUACUAGUUUAUUGGUAGAUCCUUAAAAUAAAGAUAAAUCGGAAAAGUUACUCUAGGGGUAACAGUGCAAUAUUUUUGGAGAGGUCUUAUCGAUAAGAAUGUUUGCAACCUCGAUGUUGAAUUAAAAUGUCUACGUGAAGUAGCAGGUACGUAAGAGGGUUUGUUCAACCUUUAAAU
rnacentral:rRNA from 1 species